rnacentral:rRNA from 1 species
UACGGGGGGGGGCAAGCGUUGUUCGGAAUUACUGGGCGUAAAGGGCUCGUAGGCGGCCAACUAAGUCAGACGUGAAAUCCCCCAGGCUUAACUUGGGAACUGCGUCUGAUACUGGAUGGCUUGAGUUUGGGAGAGGGAUGCGGAAUUCCAGGUGUAGCGGUGAAAUGCGUAGAUAUCUGGAGGAACACCGGUGGCGAAGGCGACAUCCUGGACCAACACUGACGCUGAGGAGCGAAAGCCAGGGGAGCAAACGGG